rnacentral:rRNA from 1 species
GGGUUGUGAGGUUAAGCGACUAAGCGUACACGGUGGAUGCCCUGGCAGUCAGAGGCGAUGAAGGACGUGCUAAUCUGCGAUAAGCGUCGGUGAGGUGAUAUGAACCGUUAUAACCGGCGAUUUCCGAAUGGGGAAACCCAGUGUGAUUCGUCACACUAUCAUUAACUGAAUCCAUAGGUUAAUGAGGCGAACCGGGGGAACUGAAACAUCUAAGUACCCCGAGGAAAAGAAAUCAACCGAGAUUCCCCCAGUAGCGGCGAGCGAACGGGGAGCAGCCCAGAGCCUGAAUCAGUGUGUGUGUUAGUGGAAGCGUCUGGAAAGGCGCGCGAUACAGGGUGACAGCCCCGUACACAAAAAUGCACAUGCUGUGAGCUCGAUGAGUAGGGCGGGACACGUCGUAUCCUGUCUGAAUAUGGGGGGACCAUCCUCCAAGGCUAAAUACUCCUGACUGACCGAUAGUGAACCAGUACCGUGAGGGAAAGGCGAAAAGAACCCCGGCGAGGGGAGUGAAAAAGAACCUGAAACCGUGUACGUACAAGCAGUGGGAGCACAGAGCAAUCUGUGUGACUGCGUACCUUUUGUAUAAUGGGUCAGCGACUUAUAUUCUGUAGCAAGGUUAACCGAAUAGGGGAGCCGAAGGGAAACCGAGUCUUAACUGGG